rnacentral:rRNA from 1 species
AUGCUUCGCCUUGGCCUCCAUCCUUGCCCCCACUUCUCUCCGCCGCCAUCCCACCCCACCCUCCCCCGCCGGUUGGCCGCCUCUCCGCUCCCAAGGCCACCCUUUCCAUCCGCCGUCACCGCGCCCCGAGCUCGAAACCCUCCGCUUCAGGCCGCCGUCAGCGGAGCCGCCUCCGGAGAGGAACGGCGGGGCGCGGAUGGGGACGAGGAAGGCGCGGACCUGCACGAGGCGCUCACCAAGACGCGGCGGCUCGUCGAGUGCGCCAUGUUCGCAUCCGUUGCCGGUCUCGCCUACUUCCUCAGCAACUCCCUCGCCAUCGAGAAUUACUUCAGCUGUUUUUUUCCGUUGCCAAUAGUCAUCUCCUCCUUAAGAUGGGGAUUAGAAGCCGGCAGGAAAACUAUGGUGGCUACUGUUUUACUGCUCUUCACAUUGUCUGGCCCUGUCAAAGCGUUGACUUAUCUGCUUAUGCAUGGAGUAGUUGGUCUAUCCAUGGGUACUAUGUGGAGGUUGGAGACCAAUUGGAUUGUUUCCAUCAUAAUCUGCGCAAUUAUACGUGCAGUGGGAGCUUGUGGAUAUGUGUUAGUGACAUCGUUCUUGAUACGAGAAAAUAUUUUUCAGUUGAUAACCGUUAACAUACAUGCCUCCUUGACGUACAUUCUGGCGGCGGCUGGUGUGAACACGAUUCCAUCCAUGGAUGCAAUAUAUGUUAUCUUUGGGACACUGGUUCUGCUCAAUUCUGGAUUCUUUGUCUUCAUACUGCAUAUAAUUUACACAAUCUUCCUGACUAAGCUGGGAAUCAAGCCUUCACUGAGGCUUCCACGAUGGCUGGGGAAAGCAACGUCUAGUUGA